rnacentral:rRNA from 1 species
CAGUCGCCGCGGUAAUACGUAGGUGGCAAGCGUUGUCCGGAAUUAUUGGGCGUAAAGGGUGCGUAGGCGGUUUGAUAAGUCAUCUGUGAAAUCUCUGGGCUCAACCCAGAGUCUGCAGGCGAAACUGUCGGGCUUGAGUAUGGGAGAGGUGAGUGGAAUUUCCGGUGCAGCGGUGAAAUGCGUAGAUAUCGGAAGGAACACCUGUGGCGAAAGCGGCUCACUGGACCAUAACUGACGCUGAUGCACGAAAGCUAGGGGAGCAAACAGGAUUAGAUACCCCCGUAGUCCCUGUCUCUUAUAC